GCUCAGGAUGAACGCUGGCGGCGUGCCUAAUACAUGCAAGUCGAGCGAACAGACGAGGAGCUUGCUCCUCUGACGUUAGCGGCGGACGGGUGAGUAACACGUGGAUAACCUACCUAUAAGACUGGGAUAACUUCGGGAAACCGGAGCUAAUACCGGAUAAUAUAUUGAACCGCAUGGUUCAAUAGUGAAAGACGGUUUUGCUGUCACUUAUAGAUGGAUCCGCGCCGCAUUAGCUAGUUGGUAAGGUAACGGCUUACCAAGGCAACGAUGCGUAGCCGACCUGAGAGGGUGAUCGGCCACACUGGAACUGAGACACGGUCCAGACUCCUACGGGAGGCAGCAGUAGGGAAUCUUCCGCAAUGGGCGAAAGCCUGACGGAGCAACGCCGCGUGAGUGAUGAAGGUCUUCGGAUCGUAAAACUCUGUUAUUAGGGAAGAACAAAUGUGUAAGUAACUAUGCACGUCUUGACGGUACCUAAUCAGAAAGCCACGGCUAACUACGUGCCAGCAGCCGCGGUAAUACGUAGGUGGCAAGCGUUAUCCGGAAUUAUUGGGCGUAAAGCGCGCGUAGGCGGUUUUUUAAGUCUGAUGUGAAAGCCCACGGCUCAACCGUGGAGGGUCAUUGGAAACUGGAAAACUUGAGUGCAGAAGAGGAAAGUGGAAUUCCAUGUGUAGCGGUGAAAUGCGCAGAGAUAUGGAGGAACACCAGUGGCGAAGGCGACUUU
rnacentral:rRNA from 1 species